GUGCCUUCUUCAGCAGGUCUUGGGCAUGACGAAGGAGGAGCUGAUUUCGUCUUCGGCCCAAGUUCCGAAGGGCUAGAAUGGCAGCCACGUGUUCCUGUCUGCAGAGAGACACAGUCCCAGUGAACAGGAGUCUCACCCAGAAUGUCUGAGAUGCAGGGGAUCGCCAAGCCCAGCCAAGUGGCUUCUGAGCCCUGGGAAGACAAGGAACCAGACGUGGGGCCAGAGCCACAAUCCAGAUUUUUCUAAAGGCUUUUUGAUGAGAAGGUUGAACUUCCUGAUGCUACUGACAAUGUCAAGACCAAGCUACAAAAUUUGAAUUUUGUUCAUAAGCAAUCAGAAAAUGGACAGCCCUUAUUAGUUCUCCAAUGAUUCAGAAAGAGUCCACCUACUGAGACUUCAGGUAGGGGUGAAGAAGGGGAAGACUCCUUUACACCACUCCCCAAAGAACAAGUGUCAGAAAAAGAAGGUUCAAGAGCUAUAACGAAGUUGAUGAGCAUUAUAAGACUGAUUGUCCUUCUGAUAAAUGGGCUGGAGGCUUUGUGGUUGGCUGUUUAUUGGGGCAAAUGAUCUUUGACUUUCUGCUUUAACAAGCCCAAGGUCAGGUAUAUGUAUGUGUGUUAAUUUUUUUAAAAAUCAAAGAAAAAACAAGGUCAUUGAGGGAACUCUCUUUGUGUCUCCAGCACCAAGCCCAAGCAAGGCCUUAUUCAUGGUAGGUGAUUAAAACACAGUGAAUGCCCUGUCCCAGUCUCUGACUAUUCCAUGGGGGCAAUUGUUGUCUCUCUACGAAGAUUGAGACCUCCCUGAGGGCAGGGAUUCUGGUGAUGAUGGUCAUUGCACAGUUUGUCCCUCAUGAAUGGAUUAGACUUCCUCCUCACCUUGACCCCUCAACACCCUUGGUUCUUUUUAGCUUCAGCUCAUGGGCCACCUCCUCUAGGAAGCCUUUUCUGAUUGCUCCUAAUUAUUGGAGUACUCUCCUGUCUCAACUUAGACAUGAAUAGAUAGGUAUAGAUAUAUGCCCAGAAUGGUAUCCCUUAUUCAAGGAUGGAGCAGAUGGGGGGUGGGGGGGGAAUAUGAAUUUAUAUUGAGCUUAGAAUAUUCCCAUUGUGGCAUAUAUAUAUACACACACAUAUAUAUACACACAUAUAUUAGAUAUUUGAUAUAUAGGCACAUGUUAUAUAUAAUGUAUAUUAUAUUUGAACAUGCAUGUACAUACAUAAUAUAAAACAAUGCUAUAAAUUUAUAUAUUGCACAUGUUCAUCCUUCACU